rnacentral:rRNA from 1 species
UACGUAGGCAGCAAGCGUUGUUCGGAAUUACUGGGCGUAAAGGGCUCGUAGGCGGCCAACUAAGUCAGACGUGAAAUCCCCUCGGCUUAACCGGGGAACUGCGUCUGAUACUGGAUGGCUUGAGUUUGGGAGAGGGAUGCGGAAUUCCAGGUGUAGCGGUGAAAUGCGUAGAUAUCUGGAGGAACACCGGUGGCGAAGGCGGCAUCCUGGACCAACACUGACGCUGAGACGCGAAAGCGUGGGGAGCAAACAGG